GGUAGGGUAAAGGCCUACCAAGGCGACGAUGGUUAGCUGGUCUGAGAGGAUGAUCAGCCACACUGGAACUGACACACGGUCCAGACUCCUACGGAAGGCAGCAGUGAGGAAUUUUGCGCAAUGGGGGAAACCCUGACGCAGCAACGCCGCGUGAGUGAUGAAGGCUUUCGGGUCGUAAAGCUCUGUCAAGUGGGAAGAAACUAUAGAAUGCCAAUACCAUUCUGUACUGACGGUACCACUGAAGGAAGCACCGGCUAACUCCGUGCCAGCAGCCGCGGUAAUACGGGGGGUGCAAGCGUUAUUCGGAAUCAUUGGGCGUAAAGAGCGCGUAGGCGGUCUCUUAAGUCAGGUGAGAAAGCCCGAGGCUCAACCUCGGAAGUGCACUUGAAACUAAGAGACUUGAGUAUGGGAGAGGGAAGUGGAAUUCCUGGUGUAGCGGUGAAAUGCGUAGAUAUCAGGAGGAACACCGGUGGCGAAGGCGACUUCCUGGACCAAUACUGACGCUGAGGCGCGAAGGCGUGGGUAGCAAACAGGAUUAGAUACCCUGGUAGUCCACGCAGUAAACGGUGAACACUAGGUGUAGCGGGUAUUGACCCCUGCUGUGCCGCAGUUAACGCAUUAAGUGUUCCGCCUGGGGAGUACGGCCGCAAGGUUAAAACUCAAAGGAAUUGACGGGGGCCCGCACAAGCGGUGGAGCAUGUGGUUUAAUUCGACGCAACGCGAAGAACCUUACCUGGAUUUGACAUCCCGGGAAUCCUAUCGAAAGACUGGAGUGCCCUUCGGGGAACCCGGAGACAGGUGCUGCAUGGCUGUCGUCAGCUCGUGUCGUGAGAUGUUGGGUUAAGUCCCGCAACGAGCACAACCCCUAUCUUUAGUUACCAUCAUUCAGUUGGGGACUCUAAAGAUACUGCCCCGGUCAACGGGGAGGAAGGUGGGGAUGACGUCAAGUCCUCAUGGCCUUUAUGUCCAGGGCUACACACGUGCUACAAUGGGCAGUACAAAGGGUAGCGACAUCGCGAGGUGAAGCCAAUCCCAUAAACCUGCCCUUAGUUCGGAUUGGAGUCUGCAACUCGACUCCAUGAAGCUGGAAUCGCUAGUAAUCGUGGAUCAGCAUGCCACGGUGAAUACGUUCCCGGGCCUUGUACACACCGCCCGUCACACCAUGAGAGUUGGUUGUACCAGAAGUUGUUGGGCAAACUUGCAUU
rnacentral:rRNA from 1 species